ensembl:misc_RNA Metazoa_SRP Metazoan signal recognition particle RNA
GCCAGGCAUGGUGGUGCAUGCCUGUAAUCCCAGCUACUUGGGAGGCUGAGGCAGGAGAAUUGCUCUAACCUGGGAGGUGGAGGUUGCAGUGAGCUGGAAUUGUGCCACUGCACUCCAGCCUGGGUGACAGAGCAAGACUCUGUAUCAA